UGCGAGACCAGCGUCACAUCCCGACAUUCCUCGUUGUCCUGAUGUGCUAUAGGUCUCGCAGAGUAAUCUUUCUUUGUUAGUUCAUUGGCUGCUGCUUUCCAUUGCUCAGCCAAUCACAAGCUCAGGAACAGCA